rnacentral:rRNA from 1 species
GAUGAACGCUGGCGGCGUGCUUAACACAUGCAAGUCGAACGGUGAAGGCGGAGCUUGCUCUGCUGGAUCAGUGGCGAACGGGUGAGUAACACGUGAGCAAUCUGCCCUGACUCUGGGAUAAGCGCUGGAAACGGCGUCUAAUACUGGAUACGAGCUGCGAAGGCAUCUUCAGCAGCUGGAAAGAACUUCGGUCAGGGAUGAGCUCGCGGCCUAUCAGCUUGUUGGUGAGGUAACGGCUCACCAAGGCGUCGACGGGUAGCCGGCCUGAGAGGGUGACCGGCCACACUGGGACUGAGACACGGCCCAGACUCCUACGGGAGGCAGCAGUGGGGAAUAUUGCACAAUGGGCGAAAGCCUGAUGCAGCAACGCCGCGUGAGGGACGACGGCCUUCGGGUUGUAAACCUCUUUUAGCAGGGAAGAAGCGAAAGUGACGGUACCUGCAGAAAAAGCGCCGGCUAACUACGU